UUUUUUGGUUGGACCCUUUGUAAACUAUCGACAUAAAAUAUCAUUUUUUGUUUCUCUCUCUAGUCGAUUUUCUGUGUGUACUUUCUGAGAAACAACGAGCAUUUUCUUGCUUCAUCCACGGCUUCAAGUCUCCAUCGCAAAUCUGUAAUUUGAUUCCUUCUGUCGUGAAAAAUCUUUAUUCUUCAUCCCCCUUCCACCAAUUCAAUCCGGUUUUCCUCCGAUCUCACGCGUUCAAAUUCGUUGCGUCUCUGAUCUACUUAUGGUUCCCUCCGUCCAGUUCCUCCAUUGAAAUUCGUCAAAAUUUGUGAUCCAUUCAGCCCUGAUUCAACCCUAAAGAUUCUCCAUAUUCCACUUCCAUGGCGGCGGCACCACUUAAGGCGGUGUCCUUGACGCAUGUCCGGUACCAGAGGGGAGAUCAGCUCGGCCAUUUCUUGGCUUGGAUCUCUUUGGUCCCCGUCUUCAUUAGCCUCGGUGGGUUUCUCUCUCACUUCAUCUUCCGUCGUGAAUUACAGGGUAUGUUCUUUGCACUAGGGCUUGUAAUCUCUCAAUUCAUAAAUGAGUUCAUCAAGGCCUCUGUUCAGCAAGCCCGUCCUGAGACGUGUGCGUUGUUGGAAAUGUGUGAUUCGCAUGGUUGGCCCUCUAGUCACUCUCAGUAUAUGUUUUUCUUCGCUAUAUACUUCACUCUUUUGUCGUAUAAAGGGAUUGGACUUUGGGGUACUGAAAGCAAGUGGGUAUUGAAUCUCCUGGCUUGGUCUCUGGGUCUCUUGACCAUGUAUUCGAGGGUCUAUUUAGGAUACCAUACCGUUGCACAGGUUUUUGCUGGAGCUACACUUGGUAUGUUUCUUGGAGCUUUGUGGUUCUGGGUUGUCAAUUCUGUGCUUUUCUGCUACUUCCCGGCUAUAGAGGAGAGCCCAUUUGGCAGGAAGUUGUACAUUAAGGACACUUCUCAUAUAAGUAAUGUUUUGAAGUUCGAGUAUGAUAAUGCAAGAGCUGCCAGAGAAAAGUUGGACUGUAAGUGUGAUUGAUCGAGUGGGAUCUGAUAUGUGAGAAGUUAGAAGUAUCCAAUCAAUCAGUCAACAGCAUUGUUUUCACUUAGUCAAUUUUAUUUCCAGAACCAAACAACAUUAGAGUUGGCUUUUGAAAUAGGGACAGUUGCAAAUAUAGCAAUCGGAUCCAAGGAGAUCCGAGAAUGCUGUUGAAAAUGGUCUUCCCCAUAUCAUAUGUGAGACCUGGUUAGGAACACACUCAGAGAAACCAGCUUUGCAAAAGGAUCAAUUAACCAUUGUAGAUUACUGAAGAGAGCUUGCGUGGUGGCUGCAAUAAUAUUUCUGGCCAUAGACAGCGUUAUUUAGGUAGAAACAUUGAUUUGAUCAUCAAAUACUUUGAUAUAUAAACUUAGUUUAAAAUAUCAUAUUGGAUUGGAUAGGCUAAUGUGGCGUGUGAAAGUUGAAUUCACUCACUGGAUUGAAUGUGCUAUGUCUUUUUCAUGUAUUUAAACAAAGUCUCAUACACAUGUAAAAUUUAAUGGUUUAAGAAUUAAGUUUGGUGUUUUAAUUGAUAAAAUUAUUAAUUUGA